rnacentral:rRNA from 1 species
UGGCUCAGGAUGAACGCUAGCGACAGGCCUAACACAUGCAAGUCGAGGGGCAGCACAAGGAGCAAUCUGAGGUGGCGACCGGCGCACGGGUGAGUAACACGUAUGCAACCUGCCUGUAAGCGGGGAAUAACCCGUUGAAAGACGGACUAAUACCGCAUAAUACUAAAUUACUGCAUGGUAAUUUAUUUAAACAUUUAUGGCUUACAGGUGGGCAUGCGCAUGAUUAGCUAGUUGGAGAGGUAACGGCUCCCCAAGGCAACGAUCAUUAGGGGUUCUGAGAGGAAGGUCCCCCACACUGGUACUGAGACGCGGACCAGACUCCUACGGGAGGCAGCAGUGAGGAAUAUUGGUCAAUGGACGAGAGUCUGAACCAGCCAAGUCGCGUGCAGGAAGAAUGUUCCCUAUGGAUUGUAAACUGCUUUUGCAGGGGAAUAAAGUGCAUCACGUGUGAUGUUUUGUAUGUACUCUGCGAAUAAGGAUCGGCUAACUCCGUGCCAGCCGCCGC